GUCUGUUAAAGUUCGUUCCUCGGUGUGCGAUAGUUGCGCCCUUUUCUUGAUCAGUCAGGUAGUAGGUGGGGUUCUCGGUACUAAAUGGGAUCGUUGAUUCAGGGUCCCAGGUGUGUUCGACUUGUGGAACAGAGGUUGCAGUUGGUGUUUCAGUAAGGCCCAGUGUGUAGAGUAUUGCAGGUGCCUCCGAUUCAGUUGUGAGCUUGUGGGUCGUCCCAUUGUGUGUUAAUAGUAGGGAUCUUGGCGUGCCCUAUCUGUAUGUUACCCCCGCGGAGCGCAGGCGGCUGGUGAGUGACUGCAGUGAUUUACGCCAUUGAAGUGUAGUUUUAGUGAGGUCCUGGUAGAGGGUUAGGUGCGAUCCAUCAAAUGGUAAUGGGGUUUUACCCCU